rnacentral:rRNA from 1 species
UACAGAGGGUGCAAACGUUGCUCGGAAUCAUUGGGCGUAAAGCGCACGUAGGCGGCCUAGCAAGUAGGGAGUGAAAGCCCUCGGCUUAACCGAGGAAGUGCUUUCUAAACUACUAGGCUUGAAUACUGGAGAGGGUCGCGGAAUUCCCGGUGUAGAGGUGAAAUUCGUAGAUAUCGGGAGGAACACCAGUGGCGAAGGCGGCGCCCUGGCUCGCAACUGACGCUCAGACACGACAGCAUGGGGAGCG